AAUUGGGUUUAGUAAACAUCAUUUUGCAAACCUACAAUAAAAAUUGGUUUUUAGAAUCAUUGUGAGGAAUACAGAAACAAUGCUCCUUCUAGAACUUAUUCUGAGCCCUGGGUUCAUUUGCAGUUCUAUCAUUGACCCCAUAUGAAACAGAGAACUUAUUUGCUGUUUAGUACUUUCUUGAAAAACAAAAGAGAAAGUAGUUCCAUUGCUUUGAACUACCUGAGAAAAUUGCCAUAAUUUGCCACUUCACAAUGCAAGGCUGGAUUUCAUAAGUUAGAUUCUGACCUCAAUGAUGAGUUUAAGUGCCAAGACUUAUUUUGACACAUUAUUUUAUGUAUUUCAGCAUCUUAUCAUCUACUAGGACAUUACCAAAACAAAAUCUUUUUUGAGGUAGGGAGGCUUUUUCCAUUUUCAUAUUUCUUACAUUCUAGUUCUUCAUGUUUCCUAAAGGUAAAUAAUGCAUGAGAAAACCUGCAGUACCUUGACUAGCAUUUUUCUUUAAAUAUUAAAUAUUGCUUUGGAAAAUGUUUGAACUACGAAUAGUUGUGCACAAUAAUUUUCUGGUUGGAAAUAAAGCCUGAUAUUUAUCCAUUUUUCCUUUGAUGUCCUAGCAUACUAAUGCUAUAUAGAGUGGUUGACUACUGAAUUCCUCCCAAAAGUUAUGAAACUUACAAUUUCAUGAAAAAACAAGGAUACAGAUACUCUUUGAAAGAGUGUUUUACAUGUUUAGUAGAAGGUUGUUAUUUUUUUGGCAGUGGCUUUGGUUUCUUACUGAUGUAGUUUUCACAACUAAGGAUAGGCUUGAUUUUUUUUUUCAAUAAAUGUCAAUGACAACCUCAUAUUAAGUCCACUAAUACUUAAAGGAAGUGAUUCCAUGGAUAAUACCAAAGAGCACUUCAUUUAAAUUGCUAUAAACCUUCCAAAGGACAGUUUAAAUUGCUCCUACCUAAGGUAAGUAUUUUAUUUGAAAGAGUCUACAGCUUUAUCCAGAUUUUCUACAAAGAUUGAGAAAAAUCCUCAAUUUAUACAGUUGAGAACUUGAUAAUGAGGAAAAAAAUUACAGUUGUUUACAAGUAAGCUAAAAUAGGUGCAAUCACAGAUGUCAUUGAGGUAAGACAUGAGCUGUGUUCUAAAAUUGUUCCAAUUCAUCCAGAAUACUCAGUACAACCUGUUUCCUCCUUUAAGGUAAGGUAUUCCUUAAAUGUCUCACCAUUGGGGACUUUUUGUUUUUUUAAAGAUUUUAUUUAUUUAUUCAUGAAGAGACACACACACAGAGAGAGGCAGAGGGAGAAGCAGAUUCCAUGCAGGAAGCCUGAUGUGGGACUCCAUCCCGGGUCUCCAGGAUCACGCCUUAGGCUAAAGGCAGGCACUAAACCGCUGAGCCAUGCGGGCUGCCCCAUUGGGGCAUUUUUUCAUAGAUAUCUCAUAAACAGCAUAGGAUGAGUGGUAACAGACUGCAUGCUGGAGCCAAACUACCAAACUUAUCAACCAUCUGAUCUGGGAAAAGUUGUUCAAUCGUUCUGUGCCUUAGUCUCCUCAUCUUUAAAUAAGGAUAAGAGUAGUGCCCACUAAGCAAUAAAUGGAUUCAUAUACACCAAGAAUCAAACAGUGUCCGAAACAUUAAUCGGACAUAACAUUAAUAUUAUGUUGAUAAAAUACUUUAUCAGUCUUAUAAUUUAUUGUUUUGGGGUGCACCAAAUAUAGAUUUUAAUAGGUCAAGGCAGGGAGAAAAGUCAUCAUUCAAUACUUUCAUUCCUUUAGCAAAUAUUUAUUGAUGACGCACAUUUGAGUUUUGAGAUAGUUAGGAGGAUCAACUUGAAACUAUUGAUGUCAUUAAAGAUUUCAGAGGCAUAGUGAAAGGAACCUAUCACUGUUGCCCAUGUCCCAGGCCAAUCAUUUAGGAUCUGUGUGUAUCUGAUAGACAGAAUUAAAUUUCUUUUGAGAGGAACUUUUUUUUUUUUUUUUUUUUGUGGGGAAGUGGCCACAUCUUUAAAGACAUUUUAUAACCAAUCAAAUCAUAGUCAGGGCUCCACUUUAAUAAUUGAGCCAAUUAGAAAAUAUCAGGUUCUAUGAAGGUAUAAUCUGAAAUAAUAGUUUAAUCACUUUGUAUAAAUAAUGCACUUAUUAGGAAAUUUGCCAGAUAUCCUAUCUUAUGUGCUUUUGGUAAGUAGUUUCGUUGACAGCCCAACAAGAGCUUAUUCUGUGUUGGCCUCUGUACUAAGUUAGGCCUAGUUAUUCAGAGACGAGCAAGACUAGUUCCUCCUGGCAAGAUGCUUACAGUCUCACAGGCGGAGACAGAUGAAUGCAAAACUAAUGUUAAUACAAAAUUCACUGCUAUACUUUUAUAAGGUGGUGUUCUGGACUGUACAAAAGGCAGUGAAAAUGUCAUUAGCUUAAACAAGGGGUUAGGAAAAAACAAAACAAAACAAAAAAACAAAAAAACAAGGGGUUAGGUCAUAAAUAUUCGAAGAAAAGUUUACCAUGUGCUGAGCAGAUGAGCAUUCUACUGGAAUAUUCAAAAUCCUUCUUAGUCAUCCUACAAAGUUUAGGGCCCGUUUAGAUAUACACAGUCACAUCUCUUAAUUUGCCACAACCGUAUAUGUGUGUAACUAUGUAAAUGUGUCGUGCUCCUCCGACUGGCGAGACCAGGACACCUGCAGACUCUAUGUCACCAGUGUGAGCAGAGCUGUAGUGGGGAGGGGAAGGAGGGAUGCAGAGGGGGAGCACAGAGAAUCUUCAGGGCAGUGAAACUAUUCUGUGUGAUACAGGAGGGGAGGCAGCACUUUACCUUUACCCUGUUUUUCUUUUUCUUUUUUUUUUUUUUUCUUCUGGGCCUGAGAGUUAAGCUAACAUAAAACAGAUUAACAGGAGAAAAGCACAGGAACUUGUGCAAAUGGAGUGGCCCGGGAGUCCUCUUAAGGAAUGAAGACCCAAAGAAGUGGCAAAAACCUACGUGCCUUUAUUAUUGAGCUACACAAAGAGAGGCGAUUAUGGAAUAAUAACUAUACAGGAAGCUAAGGGAGGACAGAGAGGCCAUCUUUCACAUGGGAAUUUGUAUCGCCUGUUUUCAAGAAGAAAAGGAAGAUUAGAAUGCCAUUCUGACAUCCGCUGUUAUUCAGAAAGUCACAUAAGGACAAGUUCCCAGAAGGGGAAUUCAAAGAGUCAAGAAUUUGAUGUACUGUUACUACCUUUGAAGAUGGAGGGAAACUGCCCUGGAUGGACUUUAGAGUGUCCUUGAGGAGCUGAGAAUGACCUCUGGCCAAUAAAAAUACAAGCAAACAGGAACCUCACACCUGCAACACCAAGGAACUGAAUUUUGCUAACAACCUGAAUGGGUUAAGAGAGUGAUUCUGUCCCAGAGCCUCCGGAAAACAGCCCAGUCCAGUCCAGCAGACCCCUUGCCUUCAGCCUACAAAACUCUAAGCAGGAAGCCUACCUGAGCCUAUCUGGAUUUCUGAC